UACGAAAGGGGGCUAGCGUUGUUCGGAAUUACUGGGCGUAAAGCGUAUGCAGGCGGAUCGUUAAGUCGGGGGUGAAAUCCCGAGGCUCAACCUCGGAACUGCCUUCGAUACUGGCGAUCUUGAGUCCGGGAGAGGUGAGUGGAACUGCGAGUGUAGAGGUGAAAUUCGUAGAUAUUCGCAAGAACACCAGUGCGAAGGCGGCUCACUGGCC
rnacentral:rRNA from 1 species